AUUGAACGCUGGCGGCAGGCCUAACACAUGCAAGUCGAGCGGUUGACGGGAGCUUGCUCCCUGAUUCAGCGGCGGACGGGUGAGUAAUGCCUAGGAAUCUGCCUAUUAGUGGGGGACAACGUUUCGAAAGGAACGCUAAUACCGCAUACGUCCUACGGGAGAAAGCAGGGGACCUUCGGGCCUUGCGCUAAUAGAUGAGCCUAGGUCGGAUUAGCUCGUUGGUGGGGUAAUGGCUCACCAAGGCGACGAUCCGUAACUGGUCUGAGAGGAUGAUCAGUCACACUGGAACUGAGACACGGUCCAGACUCCUACGGGAGGCAGAAGUGGGGAAUAUUGGACAAUGGGCGAAAGCCUGAUCCAGCCAUGCCGCGUGUGUGAAGAAGGUCUUCGGAUUGUAAAGCACUUUAAGUUGGGAGGAAGGGUUGUAGAUUAAUACUCUGCAAUUUUGACGUUACCGACAGAAUAAGCACCGGCUAACUCUGUGCCAGCAGCCGCCGUAA
rnacentral:rRNA from 1 species